CGUGGGGAACCUACCGUAUGCAGGGGGACAACAGUCAGAAAUGACUGCUAAUACCGCAUAAGCACACAAUGCUGCAUGGCAUGGUGUGAAAAGAUUUAUCGGCAUACGAUCGGCCCCGCGUCUGAUUAGCCAGUUGGCAGGGUAACGGCCUACCAAAGCAACGAUCAGUAGCCGGCUUGAGAGAGUGACCGGCCACAUUGGGACUGAGACACGGCCCAGACUCCUACGGAAGGCAGCAG
rnacentral:rRNA from 1 species